rnacentral:rRNA from 1 species
GAUGAACGCUGGCGGCGUGCCUAACACAUGCAAGUCGAGCGAACCUUUCGGGGUGAGCGGCGGACGGGUGAGUAACGCGUGGGUAGCCUGCCCUAUACACACGGAUAACGUACCGAAAGGUACGCUAAUACGGGAUAAAGUUGUUGGAUGGCAUCUUCUAACAAUCAAAGCUCCGGCGGUAUAGGAUGGACCCGCGUCUGAUUAGCUAGUUGGUGAGGUAAUGGCUCACCAAGGCGACGAUCAGUAGCCGACCUGAGAGGGUGAUCGGCCACACUGGAACUGAGACACGGUCCAGACUCCUACGGGAGGCAGCAGUGGGGAAUAUUGCACAAUGGGCGAAAGCCUGAUGCAGCAACGCCGCGUGAGCGAUGAAGGUCUUCGGAUCGUAAAGCUCUGUCCUCAAGGAAGAUAAUGACGGUACUUGAGGAGGAAGCCCCGGCUAACUACGUGCCAGCCGCCGCGGUAA